rnacentral:rRNA from 1 species
UACAGAGGGUGCGAGCGUUAAUCGGAAUUACUGGGCGUAAAGCGCACGUAGUCGGCUUUGCAAGUCGGGUGUGAAAUCCCCGGGCUCAACCUGGGAACUGCAUCCGAGACUGCAUUGCUAGAGUAUGGGAGAGGGAAGCGGAAUUUCUGGUGUAGCAGUGAAAUGCGCAGAUAUCGGGAAGAACACCCGUGGCGAAGGCGGCUCUCUGGGACGGUACUGACGCUGAGACGCGAAAGCGUGGGGAGCGAACAGG